rnacentral:rRNA from 1 species
AGAACGAACGCUGGCGGCAUGCCUAACACAUGCAAGUCGAACGCCUGUAGCAAUACAGGAGUGGCGCACGGGUGAGUAACGCGUGGGAACCUGCCCUGGAGUGGGGGAUAACCGAGGGAAACCUCGGCUAAUACCGCAUACGACCUGAGGGUGAAAGAUUUAUCGCUCUAGGAGGGGCCCGCGUCGGAUUAGCUAGUUGGUGAGGUAACGGCUCACCAAGGCGAUGAUCCGUAGCUGGUCUGAGAGGAUGAUCAGCCACACUGGGACUGAGACACGGCCCAGACUCCUACGGGAGGCAGCAGUGGGGAAUAUUGGACAAUGGGCGCAAGCCUGAUCCAGCCAUGCCGCGUGAGUGAUGACGGCCUUAGGGUUGUAAAGCUCUUUCGCUCGGGACGAUAAUGACGGUACCGAGAUAAGAAGCCCCGGCUAACUUCGUGCCAGCAGCCGC